UACGUAGGGCGCAAGCGUUGUCCGGAAUUAUUGGGCGUAAAGAGCUCGUAGGCGGCUUGUCACGUCGGGUGUGAAAGCCCCGGGGCUUAACCCCGGGUCUGCAUUCGAUACGGGCAGGCUAGAGUGUGGUAGGGGAGAUCGAAUUCCUGGUGUAGCGGUGAAAUGCGCAGAUAUCAGGAGGAACACCGGUGGCGAAGGCGGAUCUCUGGGCCAUUACUGACGCUGAGGAGCGAAAGCGUGGGGAGCGAACAGG
rnacentral:rRNA from 1 species